AAAUUCUGCAAUAGGCGAAAGCUUGACAGAGUUACUCUGAGUGAUGUCCGCUAAGGGCAUCUUUUGGCACCUCUAAAAAUGGUGCAGAAUAAGGGGUGGGCAAGUCUGGUGUCAGCCGCCGCGGUAAUACCAGCACCCCGAGUGGUCGGGACGAUUAUUGGGCCUAAAGCAUCCGUAGCUUGUUCUGCAAGUCCUCCGUUAAAUCCACCUGCUCAACAGAUGGGCCGCGGAGGAUACUACAGGGCUAGGAGGCGGGAGAGGCAAGCGGUACUCAGUGGGUAGGGGUAAAAUCCUCUGAUCCACUGAAGACCACCAGUGGCGAAGGCGGCUUGCCAGAACGCGCUCGACGGUGAGGGAUGAAAGCUGGGGGAGCAAACCGGAUUAGAUACCCGGGUAGUCCCAGCUGUAAACGAUGCAGACUCGGUGAUGGGUUGGCUUUGCGCCAACCCAGUGCCGCAGGGAAGCCGUUAAGUCUGCCGCCUGGGGAGUACGGUCGCAAGACUGAAACUUAA
rnacentral:rRNA from 1 species